AAGUCUCUUCGCUGCUCUAAUCUCACUCCUCAGAGGUGAUCACUGGACCUGAGUAAGCAGAAGGCUUUUCAGAAUUACAGCCUGAACUAUUUCUUGAGCAAUUUGGGAACUCAUUUCUAAAGCAGUCCUCAGAUUCACACAACAUAGUUUGUGACGGGGUAUGCCCAGAGCAGCUGUCUUGUUGAUUGGGGUGCACCCUGACUAAUGGCGUGCUGGCAAAGGUUUAACAACAGGCUCCAGAGGAGGGCAGACUUGAAGUGGAGCCUUCAGGGGGCAGUGUGAGGGGUGCUGAUUUCAAGCAACUCAUCUGGUAUUACUGAACAUGAAGUUGGGAAGAGAUAUGCAUAACUGAAGUGGGUGAGAGCCAGUCCAGCACCCUGUGGAGAGUGUGGAAGAUGAUCAAAGUAUGACAUUUCUUCUACCCUAGAGGUUGGCAUUUCUGCAGGCACAAAUGAGCUUGGUUUUCAAGCACCAGUCUUUGAACACAAGGAAUUCUUUUAAUGAUCACGCCGGACUAUAUAGACUUUGGAAUCAGACUCUUUGAAUUCCAGCUCUGCCAUUUACCAACUUUGACACUUUGGACAGGGUCUCAUUCUGUCACCCAGGCUGGAGUGCAGUGGCACGAUUAUAGCUCACUGCAACCUCAAA
rnacentral:lncRNA from 1 species